AAAUAAGGCAACGUAACGAUUUAACGUUUAGUCAUCGAUUUCAUCGCUAUGUUGGGUGAACAUCAAUCGACUUGUGUUAAAACGGUAUGUCCUUCUCAAAAAUCAAAAGAAUUGAAAAUUCUCGUGUUUCAACCAGAUCAUGACUAAAUGUUACAUUGAACUCGUAUCUUUGAAAAUUAAGACAACAUGUGUUUUGCAAGAUACAAAUUUUCGGCGUCGCGAGGGUGCUAAUACCUUCCUCACGCGUAACCGACUCCCGAAUCCUAAUUUUUCUCUGGAUUUUCAUAUAGACCCAAAUUCAGCCUUCUUUUGUUUUAAAAAAUAAAUAUAUUAGGUAUCCGAUCACACCUAUAAAAAGGAUCGAUGCUGACUCCCUUUUUUAUCUAUUUCAAAAUCAAACUUCAGUUUUCAAGUUUUCACUAAAUCACCACAAUUAGCGACCGAAGGUAAAACUUACGUCGCUACAUAUAUAUAUAUAUAUAUAAUUUUUUUAUUUAAACUGUUUUUGUACAUUAUUUAUUUUAAAUUUCUCUUUUACAUAUUAUUUAUUUUAAACUCUUUUGUAUGUUAUUUUUAAGGUGUCUUAUAUUUUUUCAUUACUUUGUAUAUUUUUUAUUUUAAUUUGCUUUACAUAUUAUUUGUAUGAAAUUGUUUUAUAUUAUUGACUUCAAAUGGUUUUAUAUAAUAUUUUGUUGCAUAUUCUUCAUUUGUUAAUAUUGGUAUUUAAAUAAUAUUGUCAUUACACGUUCUAGAAAUUAUUUAUUAACAUCUUCAUAUUGUUGACGUUCAUUAACCUCGCAUCUAAUUCGUGUUUUAUUAUUCCAUGCUCUACGUUACAUUUUUGUUUUAUCUAGUUCAAAUCACAUCGUGCAUCAAGCUCCAACGUAUUUGUUCAAUAUAGACCAAUUUGUAUUGCUGGAAACAAAAUGAACACGCAUCGUUAAUUGCUAUACUCGUUAUUAUUCAAAAAUAAAAUUUUCAAGAAAAGGCAAUAUUUCGCGUUUUGCGAAUGAAAGAAAUCGUACCCUAACUUACGGGGUUUCGAUUUUCUUGUUAAACCAAAAUAGCCAAAUAUCCUUUUGCAUUUCAAAGUACAUGAAGUUUUCGAUAAAAAUUAAAGGCAAACUUGCUCUCGAGAAUUCCAACGCCGCAUCCUAACUUACGGGAUGUGGCAUUUUGUUAUCUCGGGACGAGUGGGCCUUUGAAGCUCGCUUCAAUUCAAUUCAAGCAUUUAAAAAAAAUGAACAUUGAUAAAAAAGGAUCGUAUUUUAAAAAUCUUUUCAAAAUUUCAAGUCUCGACAUUAAGACGUUAAUUAAUCAAUUAGGUACCAAUUUUGGGCGUGACGAGGAUGCUAAUCCUUCCUCGCACGUAACCGACUCCCGAACCCGAUUUCUCAAAUUCUGUAGACCAAAAUCGUUGUUUUAAUAAAUCAAAAUACUUUAUUACAAAAUUGUUAGGUGAUCAGAUCACAUCUCAAAAAAAUCGGUGGCGACCCCCAUUUUUGUUUUUUUUUUAAUUUUUAAACAAAGUCGACUCCGUUUUCAAAAAUGGUUUCGACAAAAAAGAAACUUAAAAAGACGAAAAGAAUUAGAUUACUCGAAAAUAAAAAUAUAAGGACUAGUUAUGUAAUUUGAUAUGAAGUUUUAAUCUAAAAUGAUGAUAUAAUAUGUCAAGUCUUCUUAUCACAUUGUUAACAACAAUUAAAUCGAAAGCAUUAGUAACUAUAUUAUAACUUUAUUGAAGAAGUAUUGUGACCAAAAAAAGUAAGUUAAACUAUAGAUAAGUGAUAAAAUUUUGUAGUUUAACCAAAUAUCAUUUCACUCACAAAAAAAUUGGCUAAAUUGACUAUAGCAUAUAAAAGCUUGCAAUAAUUUAACUCAAUCCCAUUGUUUUCAAUAUCGGUAUAGCCACUCGAAACAUGGGGUUAGACCGGCUGACUUGUGAACUAGUUGAAUUGGCCAAUCGUAUAGUUGAACUAAUUUGAUUUAUUUAUAAUUUUUUAAUGACUUUUUCAAUUAAAGUGGAUAAAUCAGUUGGACUGGUCGGACUGGAAACGGGUGGUCUAACCAAUUCAACCACUAUUCCAACUUUGAAAACCUUAUUCAACCACAAAGUUGUUAAAAACAAUUGAAGUACGAAAUUGAGAUGUAGUGUUUUGAGAUAAAUAUUUUUAUUAGUUUUAUCCCUAAAAAAUCUAAAUCGUUUUUAAAAGAACAUUGAAUAAGAUUAAAAAAUUAAUGGAAAAAUUAAGUAGUGUGUAUGAUAAAUAUCAAUUAAAUAAAAUAUAUUUUAAAAAACAAAAUGAUGGUUAUCAAUUUUAAAAUAUUUUCAAAAUAAAUAAAUUUAAAAUUGAGAAUCAAAUUAAUUAGAUUAGCUUAAAAACUAGAUUUGAUUUUGGAUUUGAAUUUAAAUAAAUAUUUUUAAAAAUAGAUUUAAAAGAAAUUAAUGUUUAAAUUUAAAAAACUUAUCCUUCGUUUAGUAAGCAAGCCUAAGUUUUUCUCCUAUAUAUACUGCUAUGUACUGUUUUAUUAUUCAGAUUUAAAUAUUCAAAAUGAUUAAUAUGGGUUUAAAAAUGUUGUUUUCUAUUUCUUUCUUUCAAUGGGUUUUAUUCGUUCAAUCUAUGGAACCAUUUGUUUAUGACGUCAACCUUGCAGGAGCCAUUGGAGAUGGAGAGAGUGAUGAUACAGAGGUUUAUUUUCAUCUUAAAUGCUAUAGUUGAGAAGUUUAUGAUAUUCUGAUUGUUUAUUUAUAUAACUAUUUUAGGCCUUCAAGAAUGCAUGGAAUGUUGUCUGUAGUUCGCAUAUCUCUUCAGGGAUAUUUCGUGUUCCUUAUGGACAAAAGUUUUUGCUGCAACCCUUGACUUUUAAUGGUGAAUGUCGACCAAAAAACAUUACUUUUCAGGUAAUAAUAAUAAUUGUUUUCAUCUUUUCUUUAAUUUUAUUAAUAAUAUUAUUUACAAAAUUUUUGAGUUGGGUUAUUUAGAUUGAUGGCAUACUCAUUGCCCCAAGUGAUCCAUCUUCAUGGAAAUGCAAAGAAACAAACUGUAACAAUUGGAUAACCUUUCAACAUUUCGAUGGCCUCAUCAUUCAAGGAACUGGAAGCCUCCAUGGCCAAGGACAAAAAUGGUGGCAAAUGGGUUGCAUGCAUAAUAAAGUGGUAUACUAUUAGUUUGGAUUUUUUGCAGCUUCUUAAUAUUUGCUUCAACACAAUUUUAUAUAAUUUCUAAUUAUAUUUAUCAAAUUUUCUGUUGACAGCUUUGUUCUUCGCAAAAAGCAGCGGUAUGCCUUCACUUAUUAAAAAAUAGGAGAUUUUUUUCAUUUAGUCUCCAAUUUUAUUUAUCCUUUUUAUUGUUUGUUUUGCUUAGAGUUUUGCCAUCUUAGACUCUAAGAAUGUGCAUAUUAGUGGCUUAACUUCCGUGGACAGUCGAAAAUGGCAUAUUUCAAUUGAAAGAUCUUCAUCCGUUCAUGCUUCUAAACUCAAUAUCAAAGCUCCAAAAGAUAGUCCCAACACCGAUGGCAUUCGUAUCCAACAUUCCACCAAUGUUACCAUAGCCUCCUCAAUCAUUAAGACUGGUAUAUAAAAAAUAAGUAUUUAUUUUCAUAACAAAAUAUAUAUAGACAAGUAUUGGGUUUGACAUUUUUUUUCUUUUUUUCUUUUAGGUGAUGAUUGUAUAGGAAUUGGAGACGGGUCAAAAUAUAUUAACAUUAAUCGGAUUUUUUGUGGUCCAGGUCAUGGAAUUAGGUAUUUUAUUAUUAUUUUUAUUAAAAAAAUUCACUUAUUUGUUUGUUUUUAUUUUUCACUCUUAUAGAAUUAGGUAUUUUGAUUUAAAACAUAUAUGUUUUUUUUUACUUAUUUAGUUUUUAUUAUUCACUUUUAUAUGAAGUAUUGGAAGUCUUGGUGAAAAUGGAAGAAGGGAGACAGUUGAAUAUGUUACUGUAAGGAGAGCUAACUUUUAUGCUACAGAGAAUGGUCUUAAAAUAAAGACAUGGCAGGUAAUUAAAUUUUUAAUUAAAUGUAUUUUAUGAUUAUUAUUUUUACAUUAUAUUUAACUAAUUAUCAUGUUAUGUGUACAGGGAGGACAUGGAUAUGCAAGAUAUAUAAGAUUUGAACAUAUAUCGUUUAGUAAAGUAAUUAGACCUAUUAUUAUUGAUCAAUACACUUGCCCUCUUCAUCAACAUUGCAAGAAUUAUGUAAGUUUCAUUUUAAUCUCUUCAUGAAUUCAAUCGAAUAUUCAAUUUAACAUAUAUAUUGUAAUGAUAUUUUUGUAUUUUGUAUUUUAAUUUUACAGAGUACAGCUGUGGAGAUUAGCAAUAUCUUAUAUAAUGAUUUAAGAGGGACAACAAACGGUGAAAUUGCGGUGGAACUUUCAUGCAGUAAGUCAGUUCCAUGCAAAAAUAUCCGCAUGAAAGACAUACAGUUGGAUUACGGAAUAAAUGGUAAAAUGUAUGAUGGGCACCCCAAAUCUCAUUGUUUGAAUGUUGUUCAAAGUUGGGACGAAGGAUAUGUUUAUCCAAAUGUUCCUUGUUUAACAAAAAAAUUAAGUUACUAAACUUUAUUAUUUUGGAUGUAAUAAUUAGGUUGUAUCAAAAGGUUGCAUAUAUAAAAUAAAUAAAUGCAUCUUUUUUAUAUCAAAAUUUUCUUCAAUAAUCUUCUCUUACUUAUUAUGAUUGGUUAUUAUUUUAUUAAAAUAAUUAGAGAUAUCAAUAUUACAAGAUAAAAAGAAAAUAAAGUUAAUAUUUUCAAUAACUUUAAAUCAAAGAAUCAUUGAACUAAGUUUUUGAGCUGUGAACUUGUUUUCUUUAACAAAUAUUUUGGUACACUUAUUUUAAAGAUUGGAGCAUAAUAUUACACUUGUUUUCACAUUGCAAUGUACCCAUGGUUUGCCCUUGUCAUAUCACUCCAUAUGUUUGUAUGGGAGUAUGUUCAAUCUCCAUCCACAUCUCAUAACCUUUAUUCCAAUCAUUGUUCUGCAUAUUGAUUUCCUCUAGGCGUCGAAACAAAGAAUGUGUUAAAAUCAUUAAUUAAAAAUAAAAAAAUAUAUUUUUUAAAAAUAAUACAAAUGUGUUAAUAUCUAAUUACAAAUAUUUAAUGGUUAUAUUUAAAUAUUUAAAAUAGAGUUUAUAUAUUCUAAUUAAAUUUUAUAAGUAAUUAAUAUUUAUUGCUUAAAAAUAUUUAAAAUUUAUACUUCAUAUAUUAAAAUAUUAACAACCAGUUAUAAUAAAUUUUUUUUAUAUUCUUACUAAAAUGCAAUAAUAUUAAUUAAUUUGAACAUUAUUUAAAUUUAUAUUUGUUACUUGAUAAUAUCAUGUCUAGAAUGAACAUUUUAUUUUUCAAAAAUACUUUUUGAGAGUAAUGCUAAACCCUCAAAUAUUAAAUCAAACUUUUCAAAAGUAUUUCUCCAAAGCACUUUUUAAAAGCGCUUUUUAAAAGUAUUGUUAAACUAGGCCUUAAAAACAUAUUUUAACCAUAUAACUAAAAUGUAAUAUAGAACAAACGUUGGUAUUGUUAUUAUUAUUAGGCUUAAUUCACAAGCAUAUUCAUUUUCCACUUUGGUAAACUUUUUUUUUUCCUAACUUAGUACUUAAAAGAGGAGGAGACGACUUACCCGAAAUCCCUCGUGGUCGUUUCGUCAGAGACCCUCUCUCCGUCCCCGAAAUCAAACCCAAAAAGCCGGGAGAGAAACUCUCUUCUCUCGAUCGGCAGGCAUGGAGACGACGCAAAAUGGGUUCUUGAAACCCUAACAGAGAAAAUGGGGAGAGGGGAGGAGUGCUCUCUCUGAUUUUUUUUUUAAAAAAAGGGACAAGAUAUGGCAAAAAAUAAAAAAUUUUGUUUAAAUAACAAGGCAAAACGGUGUCGUUUUGCACCAGGGACCCUAGCGCCAAAAUGACGUCGUUUAUGGCAUGCCCGCGCGCGACCCGACCCGACCCAACCCGUUCCAGGGGGAUCCGCGCAUUUUGCCCUUUCGGGGAUAUCUAUCCCUUUGGUCCCUCCAUUUUUAGGGCGCGCUACAAUCUAACCUUUAUUUGUUUCUUUUGUUUUUUUUUUUUUAAAUUUUGCCGCAUGCUUUGUGUUGGCUUCAAUUUGGUCCAUCUUGAAACGCAGCGCGUGAGGGCUGGGGAUAUUUCCCAAUCAGUCCCUCAUUUGUUUCAGCAUGUUUCAUCUAGGUCCUCGACGGCCUAUUUUCUAUUAUUUACAAGUUUUACCCUUAAAUUUUAAUUCGAUUUCAGCCUAAUCCUCUGUUUAAUUAAUUAAUUAAUUAAUUAUUUAAAAAAAACUGUUAAUAUUAUUCUUUUUAAGUUUUUUAUAUAUUAUUUAUUUUAAAUAAUUUUAUUGUUACUUAUUUUAAUCCUUUUUUUACGUCUUAUGUAUUUUAAAUUAUUAUAAAUUUUAAAUAUUUUACAUAUAUUAUUUAUUUUAACUACUGUACAUAUUACUUAUUUUGAAAUAUUUUUAUACGUUAUUUAUUUUAAACCAUUAUAUAUGUAUUAUCUAUUUUAAGUUUUUUUUAUACUUUAUUUAGUUAUACUAUUUUAUAUGUAAACUAUUUUAAAUUCUUUUACUAUUUAUCGUAAACCUUUUAUUAUUAUUAAUUUUAAGAUUUCAUAUGUUACUUAUUUUAAACUUUUAUAUAUAUAUGUAGAAGCCCAAAUAAGGCAACGUAACGAUUUAACGUUUAGUCAUCGAUUUCAUCGCUAUGUUGGGUGAACAUCAAUCGACUUGUGUUAAAACGGUAUGUCCUUCUCAAAAAUCAAAAGAAUUGAAAAUUCUCGUGUUUCAACCAGAUCAUGACUAAAUGUUACAUUGAACUCGUAUCUUUGAAAAUUAAGACAACAUGUGUUUUGCAAGAUACAAAUUUUGGGCGUCGCGAGGGUGCUAAUACCUUCCUCACGCGUAACCGACUCCCGAAUCCUAAUUUUUCUCUGGAUUUUCAUAUAGACCCAAAUUCAGCCUUCUUUUGUUUUAAAAAAUAAAUAUAUUAGGUAUCCGAUCACACCUAUAAAAAGGAUCGAUGCUGACUCCCUUUUUUAUCUAUUUCAAAAUCAAACUUCAGUUUUCAAGUUUUCACUAAAUCACCACAAUUAGCGACCGAAGGUAAAACUUACGUCGCUACAUAUAUAUAUAUAUAUAAUUUUUUUAUUUAAACUGUUUUUGUACAUUAUUUAUUUUAAAUUUCUCUUUUACAUAUUAUUUAUUUUAAACUCUUUUGUAUGUUAUUUUUAAGGUGUCUUAUAUUUUUUCAUUACUUUGUAUAUUUUUUAUUUUAAUUUGCUUUACAUAUUAUUUGUAUGAAAUUGUUUUAUAUUAUUGACUUCAAAUGGUUUUAUAUAAUAUUUUGUUGCA
rnacentral:lncRNA from 1 species